GACGAACGCUGGCGGCGUGCCUAAUACAUGCAAGUAGAACGAGUGGCGGACGGGUGAGUAAUGUCUGGGAAACUGCCCGAUGGAGGGGGAUAACUACUGGAAACGGUAGCUAAUACCGCAUACCAUCGGAUUUGCCUAGAUGGGAUUAGCUUGUAGGUGGGGUAACGGCUCACCUAGGCGACGAUCCCUAGCUGGUCUGGGAGGAUGACCAGCAACACUGGAACUGAGACACGGUCCAGACUCCGACGGGAGUCAGCAGUGGUGAAUAUUGCACAAUGGGCGCAAGCCUGAUGCAGCCAUGCCGCGUGUAUGAAGAAGGCCUUCGGGUUGUAAAGUACUUUCAGCGAGGAGGCGGUACUCGCAGAAGAAGCACCGGCUAACUCCGUGCCAGCAGCCGCGGUAAUUC
rnacentral:rRNA from 1 species